UACGUAGGGUGCGAGCGUUAAUCGGAAUUACUGGGCGUAAAGCGUGCGCAGGCGGUGAUGUAAGACAGAUGUGAAAUCCCCGGGCUCAACCUGGGAACUGCAUUUGUGACUGUAGAGCUGGAGUACGGCAGAGGGGGAUGGAAUUCCGCGUGUAGCAGUGAAAUGCGUAGAUAUGCGGAGGAACACCGAUGGCGAAGGCAAUCCCCUGGGCCUGUACUGACGCUCAUGCACGAAAGCGUGGGGAGCAAACAGG
rnacentral:rRNA from 1 species